GACGAACGCUGGCGGCGUGCUUAACACAUGCAAGUCGAACGGAAAGGCCCUGCUUUUGUGGGGUGCUCGAGUGGCGAACGGGUGAGUAACACGUGAGUAACCUGCCCUUGACUUUGGGAUAACUUCAGGAAACUGGGGCUAAUACCGGAUAGGAGCUCCUGCUGCAUGGUGGGGGUUGGAAAGUUUCGGCGGUUGGGGAUGGACUCGCGGCUUAUCAGCUUGUUGGUGGGGUAGUGGCUUACCAAGGCUUUGACGGGUAGCCGGCCUGAGAGGGUGACCGGCCACAUUGGGACUGAGAUAAGGCCCAGACUCCUACGGGAGGCAGCAGUGGGGAAUAUUGCACAAUGGGCGGAAGCCUGAUGUAGGAACGCCGCGUGCGGGAUGACGGCCUUCGGGUUGUAAACCGCCUUCGCCUGUGACGAAGCGUGAGUGACGGUAAUGGGUAAAGAAGCACCGGCUAACUACGUG
rnacentral:rRNA from 1 species